GGGCGGGCGACUGCAGCUGGAACGGGUUUGUUGGCGGUGAUGAAGAGCCACGGGCAGUCUCCUGCAUUGUUGCUGGAGCUGCAAAUGGUUAUGGACGUUUGAGAAAGCUGUGUGACAACAUCUAUUACAAUGAAAGACUUGAAGUUUCGACUCAGCAAUUCCACUCCUGGGAAUCUACCCCCAGAGAAGCGAACACACCCAAGGCUGAUGUACAAGGAUGUUAAUGGCCGCAUAAUUUGCUGGUGAGGCUUUGACCCUAUCCUGAUGGCUGCUGGGAGAGGAGACCCACCACCUUCCUGGGCAGCCCAUCCCGUACCUCACAGCCUCCACUUGGACACCGGCUUUUAUCGAGACGUCGGCACCGGGAAUGUGAGCUGGUUGCCUUUGCUUCUCUUCCCAGGCAAAGGUUUAUUUUUAAAUAAAUCGUUCCUUUCAGAACAAGGCUUGGA